UCUGUUGUUCCCCCACCCACACUCUGUCUCUCUCACAUGCCUGACUUUUCAUUUCUAAAACUCUCCUCACGCAUCCACAGCUUCACCUCUUUCAUUCACUUGUUUUCAUGAUUGGACUCGCGGAUCUGCUCAGCGAACACCAUGAGGACCAAAGCCUUCCCAGUUCUGUCUUUACUCAUGCUGGCUCUCCUGAUUCCUGCAUCUUAUUCUAGUAAUUCAACACAAACUGGGCCCACCAAUUCCUCCUCUACUCUCUCAAACAACACAACAGCAUCUACUGAAGCUCCACCUUCUGUAAGUCCUUUAUCUAAUGACACACAAGCAAAGGAAGAGGUCAGCACAGCCUCAACUCAGGAAUCAGUCUCAUUGUCACAUAUCCCUAAAACGAGUCUACUUCAUCCAUCUAACUCAACAACAUGCCAAAACACAACUGCUUCCCCCACCGAACACAGCAGAGGCUGGUUAGUUUUGAUUCUGUUGGUCAUUAUGGUGUUGGCGGUGCUUGUGGGAUAUCUCCAUGAGAAAAAGGAACCAGCAGCCAAGUCAGGAAAGCGCCGUCAACAUGUUUCUACUGGGUGUGAGAGACAGACUGAGGACCAGGAUCGGUAACCCGGAGGAGAGGAUGGGUGUUCGCCUGUGGCCUGGAGGGAAGACAGGAGAGGAGGAAGAUGUGGAGGAAGCAGACGAAGGACAGACAGAGGAGGCAGGACAGCAGAGAGACAGAGAUGGAGAAGGAAACAAACUGAUCAGGGAAAUUGAGAGUGACUGGUUGGACUGGAGUAAAUGUCUGGUUAUUAAAGAUUCCAAUGUUUCUUCUGAACAUGAUGCUGAACAGUUUGUUUUCUUCCGUGUAACAUUUGUAAUGCAAAAAACUGCACACCAAGAUCAAAAACACCACAGACAGAAUAUUUCUAUGAUCUGUUUGACAACCUGUAUUCAGUGAAGUUUGACUUGGAGAGAUCCUUCUGGUGAGGGCAGUGGGACAAGAAAUAAGCAACGUAAAAAUAGGAUUCUAAAAGACAUUUUUAUCAUUGUAAAAGAGAUCACCAUGGAUAAUCAAUCCAUUAAUAUGGUCAAUAAGUCAUCUUUUGUUUUGGCUCAGGUUUCUUUCUAUUACUGAAUCACGAUGACACACGUUUUCAAGGUAUUUAAAAUCUUUAGUAGUUGAAAGGUUAGUAGUCAGAUUAAAACCUCCAGUCAUUUUUUACAUGUUGGAAAUUAAAUUAAAAUUUGAAUAUUUUUCUGCU